rnacentral:lncRNA from 1 species
CUGCUGUUAUAAAUGUGUGGUAUCUAUUAUGUCAUUCUAUCUUUGUAUCAAUCCUUUGAGGUAAGGAAAAUACAAUUUUUCUCAUUUAACAGGCUAAAGAAACCAAGAUCCAAACAGAAAGCGGUUUACUCUGGUGUAUACCAUAUGGUGAUUGGUGGUGGAGCUGAGACUGUGGAUGUGUAUAAUCUUGCUUCAUCUCUAGGGACAGAUGAGAGGAAGCAGCCCCAUAGAAAGUGUGCUACUCUCUGCUGGUUUCUUAUGAUAGCUUUGCUCACUGAGGCAGAGCAGCCUGCAAAACUGUUCAAUAUAUCUGAUUGGCAGCUAUCCUCAAGUGUAGCUGACAGACCCCGAGAACACACUCCCUCCUCCUUGUUUCUAAGAUUCUUCCUGUUUCCUCUAAAAUUCUAUUUCCC